UACGGAGGGUGCAAGCGUUGUCCGGAUUUAUUGGGUUUAAAGGGUGCGUAGGCGGCCCGGUAAGUCAGUGGUGAAAGCCUCCAGCCUCAACUGGAGAACUGCCAUUGAUACUGCCGGGCUUGAGUACAGACGAGGUUGGCGGAAUUGAUUGUGUAGCGGUGAAAUGCAUAGAUACAAUCAAGAACUCCGAUUGCGUAGGCAGCUAACUAGGCUGUAACUGACGCUGAGGCACGAAAGCGUGGGGAGCGAACAGG
rnacentral:rRNA from 1 species